UAGGGAAUCUUCCGCAAUGGACGAAAGUCUGACGGAGCAACGCCGCGUGAGUGAUGAAGGUUUUCGGAUCGUAAAACUCUGUUGUCGGGGAAGAACAAGUAUGAUAGUAACUGAUCGUACCUUGACGGUACCCGACCAGAAAGCCACGGCUAACUACGUGCCAGCAGCCGCGGUAAUACGUAGGUGGCAAGCGUUGUCCGGAAUUAUUGGGCGUAAAGCGCUCGCAGGCGGUUCUUUAAGUCUGAUGUGAAAUCUUGCGGCUCAACCGUAAACGUGCAUUGGAAACUGGAGGACUUGAGUGCAGAAGAGGAGAGUGGAAUUCCACGUGUAGCGGUGAAAUGCGUAGAGAUGUGGAGGAACACCAGUGGCGAAGGCGACUCUCUGGUCUGUAACUGACGCUGAGGAGCGAAAGCGUGGGGAGCGAACAGGAUUAGAUACCCUGGUAGUCCACGCCGUAAACGAUGAGUGCUAGGUGUUAGGGGGUUUCCGCCCCUUAGUGCUGAAGUUAACGCAUUAAGCACUCCGCCUGGGGAGUACGGCCGCAAGGCUG
rnacentral:rRNA from 1 species